GACGAACGCUGGCGGCGUGCUUAACACAUGCAAGUCGAGCGGUAAGGCCCUUUCGGGGGUACACGAGCGGCGAACGGGUGAGUAACACGUGGGUGACCUGCCCUCAGCUCUGGGAUAAGCCUGGGAAACCGGGUCUAAUACUGGAUAUGACUCCAUGACGCAUGUUGUGGGGUGGAAAGCCUUGUGCGGCUGAGGAUGGGCCCGCGGCCUAUCAGCUUGUUGGUGGGGUGANGGCCUACCAAGGCGACGACGGGUAGCCGGCCUGAGAGGGCGACCGGCCACACUGGGACUGAGACACGGCCCAGACUCCUACGGGAGGCAGCAGUGGGGAAUCUUGCGCAAUGGGCGAAAGCCUGGCGCAGCGACGCCGCGUGAGGGAUGACGGCCUGGUGUAACU
rnacentral:rRNA from 1 species